rnacentral:rRNA from 1 species
GACGAACGCUGGCGGCGUGCUUAACACAUGCAAGUCGAACGGAAAGGCCCUGCUUUUGUGGGGUUCUCGAGUGGCGAACGGGUGAGUAACACGUGAGUAACCUGUCCUUGACUUUGGGAUAAAUUCAGGAGACUGGGGCUCAUACCGGAUAGGAGCUCCUGCUGCAUGGUGGGGGUUGGUAAGUUUCGGCGGUUGGGGCUGGACUCGCGGCUUAUCAGCUUGUUGGUGGGGUAGUGGCGUACCAAGGCUUUGACGGGUAGCCGGCCUUCGAAGGUGACCGGCCACAUGGGGACUGAGAGACGGCCCAGUCUCCUACGGGAGGCAGCAGUGGGGAAUAUUGCACAAUGGGCGGAAGCCUGAUGCAGCAACGCCGCGUGCGUGAUGACGUCCUUCGGGUUGUAAACCGCUUUCGCCGGUGACGAAGCGUUAGUGACGGUAAUGGGUAAAGAAGCACCGGCUAACUACGUG